CAGAAGUCUUUUCCGACUCCUAAACCACUGUGAAUCUACCUUUUGUUGUUGCUUCGGCAGGCCGCCCCUCGGGAGGGGACCAAACGGGCUGCCGGAGGUAUUUAAACUCUUAUGUUUUAGCGGUCUUCUGAGCACUAAACAAAAUAAAUCA
rnacentral:misc_RNA from 1 species